AAGAGUAUACCUUAUGUUUCUUCUUGCUCUCAAGAUCUGUUUGUGUUCUUUCUGCAAUUAAUUUUGCACAGAUGUUCUUCUUUUUCCUUUAUUCAAUGGUUGUAGAAUCCAUUCAUCUUCAACCUCAGAUUUCAUCUUUUGUAUCUCUCUUUUUUCCCUUUUACCAGAAGCUUAAUAGUUUCCCAUUGUUGAUCUUCUCUUUUUUAGAGCCUAAAUGCUUCUCUAUCUCAGCCAGAUACUGACACUGAUCUGGCUGAUGAGCCAACUUAAGAAGAAGAAAUUUUUUUUGGGUAUAGCCUUACAUUGCUUAAUAAAGUUUGGAGUUCUUUCUCUUCCAAUGUUCCUUUUCUUCAAUUUCAUCUCCUCUCUUCUGCUCUUUCAUGGCUCUGUCACGGUAAACUACUGCUGAUUUCUGAAUAACAGGAACGAGAUUCGAGUUUUUGCACCAUCUACAUAAAGGCUUCAAUUAUUGGGUUUUAGCUCAGGAAGAUGCCAACUUGGAAAAAGAGAAGUACAAAAUACAAAAUAAAAGAAAGGUAGCAAGAAACAUAGUUUCAAACUUCCAUAUGCUGCUUUAUAUUCAAGAGUCGACAUUUUGUUCAUUUACGUAUGUAAAUAAUAUCCAACAAUUAGUAUAUUUUGUCCUCUUUAUCCCAUUUGGUGCUCAUU